rnacentral:rRNA from 1 species
GAUGAACGCUGGCGGCGUGCCUAAUACAUGCAAGUCGAGCGAACGGACGAGAAGCUUGCUUCUCUGAUGUUAGCGGCGGACGGGUGAGUAACACGUGGAUAACCUACCUAUAAGACUGGGAUAACUUCGGGAAACCGGAGCUAAUACCGGAUGAUAUUUUGAACCGCAUGGUUCAAAAGUGAAAGACGGUCUUGCUGUCACUUAUAGAUGGAUCCGCGCUGCAUUAGCUAGUUGGUAAGGUAAUGGCUUACCAAGGCAACGAUGCAUAGCCGACCUGAGAGGGUGAUCGGCCACACUGGAACUGAGACACGGUCCAGACUCCUACGGGAGGCAGCAGUAGGGAAUCUUCCGCAAUGGGCGAAAGCCUGACGGAGCAACGCCGCGUGAGUGAUGAAGGCCUUCGGAUCGUAAAACUCUGUUAUUAGGGAAGAACAUAUGUGUAAGUAACUGUGCACAUCUUGACGGUACCUAAUCAGAAAGCCACGGCUAACUACGUG